ACUACUUACUCACUUUCUUCUUACACUAGAGUGGAGAGGGGAUUCUUGUAGGAAAUAUCAAGGUAGUCUGGAAGCUGUGGCGUCCAGAGCCUAGGUGGGUGUGUGACUUCCUGCAGUCAAUCUUACCUGGAACUGAAGAGCAUAGAGCUAAAGGAGCAAACCCUGAAUGUAAACAUUAAUGUGACCACACUUAUGCCAGACCUCUGACCUGUACUGGAGCCUGGAGUGGUGGCAUCCUUCCUCCACCCACCCACCCAGCUGUUUCACAUUUAGCUUGGGUCUACUGUGCCUGUUUUGAAAUAGCUUCAAAGAAAGAACAUUUGCAGUCCUGAGAAUAUUCCCCAGCCUACUGCCGUAACAUGACAGGGAGACCAACCUCAAAGGAUUCUGAACAGAGAAACACCAAAGCAAGUGAGUAAUCCUGUAAAAAUAGCCCAGCAAAAAGGAAGUGAGCAGGCUCGAGAUCAGAAACAAUAAGUAUGCUCUCUCCUACUUACCUCCCUGGGGUGGAGUCGUAAACCACCACCACCCCUUCAGCACUAAAGAUUGAGCCCGGGGCUGCAUGUGCGAGAUGAGUGUUCUGCUCUACCCUCCCCAGCACCUGCGGAACAUUUUAGAAAGCUGAUUAUAGAACCGCACUCCAGGAUUGAGAUAAGAGUGGCCUUGGGUACACCCCGGAUAUGAAAUGAGCUUCAGAAAAGAGUAUACAGCAAGAGUCAAACCACAAGCUUAGUUCACCCGCAGUACUGUGACUUAAAGCUAACUUCACUUGAGUGUGAGGUGAUGUGGGAAGUAAGUCACUGGCCCUCAGUCCUCCAGUGAGCUCUAAAUAGCUAAUGUCUGCAGGGACUCUAGAGAUUGCUCAAAGGAAGCUGCAGUGAUCUAACACACAUGAGGCCUGGCAGAAGAUAGGUGCCAGGAAGCUCCUGAGUCAGCACAUUAUGGAAGCUGCCUGUGCACCUUUCAGAGUUCCUCCCAGGAGGAUAGCAACAGGACCAAAGGGAGGGGAUGCUUGGCCAGCCAGUAGAAGUUUCCAUCAAAACAGUGAUGCUUUGACUUGGAGACAUGCGCCUGUAGUUCCAGCACUUGGGAGGCUGAGGCAGGAGGACCUCAAGUUUAACAACCUCCUGGUCUCCAUAAUGAAAUCAAGACCAUCUUGACAAAGAAAGAACCCAGGGCUGGGGGUCCAGCUCUGGGAGAGUCUCUUUCCAAGGGCCUGGGCCCAGCCCCAGUACAGCAAAUUAAAAAGACCCAGAUGUCCAGAGACACUCAUCCUUCUGGUUCUCCAGGUGCCUCUGUCCUGUGAGUGCCAGGGAGGCUGAGUGCAGGUCUGAGGUGUCACUGAAGGCUCUGCGGUGUUCUGUAUGAAUCAGUGGUAUUUGCUGCCACUUCCCUGUACCCAAAUCUCACACAAAGUGCCCACUCCCAGUUUCCUCCCAUCCUGCAUCCAUCCCACUCCAAUCUCCACUUGUGCGAACCAUACAGACCCUAUUCUCAUGGAGCUAGCAAUGCAGCAUUCCAAACAUCUCACCAGGCAAUUCUGCCUUAUUUCUAGCCAAAGGUUAUGGUACCCAGAGGGCAUGUGAACACACACCAUAUACUUAUCCAGGUAGGACCAAACUGCUGGUUUCAUGGGGAGGAAAGAGAAUAGCUGAGUGCAUGCUCAGAGGCCAGAAGAGGAAGCUGGGAAAAAAUCAUGACUCAGUCACUGCUUCCCCACCGCAGUUUGCGCUCCUCCACACCUCCCACUUCCUGGCUUCAUCGUGAACAUACAGAUGCCUCAUCCUGGCCCAGCCACAUGUGCCUCUAUAUUUCUAGCAAGUUUGAGUAUCUAUAUGAGGAAGACCUGCUGGCCCUGCCUGGUGCUGCUUUCUAGAUCAGCUGUCCACUGUGCUGUUGUCACAGGAGCCUCAGCCAGUUUGGGGCUGAGGUAUAUAUGUGAGGGUCUCAGACACCACUGGUCUCACUGGGUUACACUGAACGGCCCUUACUCAGGACUCUGUUUGUUUCACAAGGUGGAUGGGUAUGAUGUACCUAUUUGUGUGUUGGUACAUGCACACUUGUGUGUGGAGGCCAGACGUCAAUGCUGAGGGUCAAUGCUCAGUUACUUUCCAUCUAGAUUCUGAGACAGUGUCUCCCUGAGCCCAGCGUUCAACAUUGGUUACUUUUACAUGAAUGCUUGAUAACUUGGGUCCAUAUGUUUGCUGUGACUUUAAUGGCUGAGCCAUCUCCCCAGCCCCUGACAUUACAGUGAGUAGAGCCAGCCAAUCCUCAAGGACAGCAGGCAAGACAGCUGGCGCUGAGGACAGAAUCAAGUUCUCUCAUCUCACAAAUGUAACACUGAGGGAGUUGCUUGGCCCUUCUGUAUUUUAUGUAUAAAAUGGUAAUUAGUAAGUGUUCCUAAAGUCUACUUUAGCCAUAUCAGCACAACUAUAGGUGCUCACCUAUAUUACCUGUACACUGAGUGGUCCUCCACUAGGGGCAUAUUGUACUCCUUCCCAUGCACACUUGGAACUUUUGUCAAUGUCUAAAGAUAUUUUUGUCACAACUGUAAAGAGAUGCUACUGGCAUCUGGAGGGUACAAGUCCAAUGCUGCUGUAAUUAAAGUAUAGUCUUAAC
rnacentral:lncRNA from 1 species